rnacentral:lncRNA from 1 species
CAGCUCCCAGCGGCAAGUACACUAGGCUCUUAACUUCGCUUGUCCUCUCUGCAGGCCCUGCCGAAGCUCCCCCUGGUUUCCCGCAGCGAUCCCGCGCAGGGCUGAAGCAGUGCCUACUCAAUAAAACCAGUCAUCGUGCAAAGAAAUGCCACCUGACCCAAAGGCAAAGCCAGAGUGCAGCUUGGAGCAAAGAAGUUUGUGUUGAAGGAGAAACUAACAAUGAAAAUGGACUUGUUGACGGAAGAAAAGUAGGAAUGCAGCCUCUGGUGCUGUUUGAGUGAUCCCUCUGCCCCAGGCCUGGCUGCGCGCUGCUGUGUUCUGGAAAGGCGCAUUGUGCCCUCGCUGUGGCAGUUUCGCUCUUGUUGCCUAGGCUGGAGUACAAUGAUGUGAUCUUGGCUCACCACAACCUCUGCCUCCAAGGUUCAAGCAGUUCUCCUGCCUCAGCCUCCCAAGUAGCUGGGAUUACAGGCAUGUGCUACCACGCCCAGCUAAUUUGUGUAUUUUUAGUAGAGAUGGGAUUUCUCCAUGUUGGUCAGUCUGGUCUGGAACUCCCAACCUCAGGUGAUCCACCCACCUCGGCCUCCCAAAGUGCGGGAUUACAGACAUGAGCCACCGUGCCUGACCUGUAGUCUUUUUUCCAUUCCUUUAUUUGUUCAUUCAUAUUUGAGAGAGGUACUAAAAGACUGGGAGCCGAGGUGUGGUGGCUCACACCUAUAAUCUCAGUGCUUUGGGAGACCGAAGUGGGAGGAUCACUUGAGCCCAGGAGCUCAAGACUAGUUUGGGCAACAUAGUGAGACCCCAUCUUUACAAAAAAAAAAAAUAGCUAGGUGUGGUGACACCCAUCUGCAGUCCCAGCUACUUGGGAGGCUGAGGCAGGAGGAUUGCUUGAGCCCAGGAGGUUGAGGCUGCAGUGAGCUCUGAUCAUGCCACUGCAUUCCUGCAUUCCAACCUGGGCGAAAGAGCAAGACCCUGUCUCAAAAUAAAUAAAUAAAUAAAUAAAAA